CUGGUUGAUUCUGCCAGUAGUCAUAUGCUUGUCUCAAAGAUUAAGCCAUGCAUGUCUAAGUAUAAGCAAUUAUACGGCGAAACUGCGAAUGGCUCAUUAUAUAAGUUAUCGUUUAUUUGAUAGUAUCAUAUAGCCUUCAUCCAUUCUCAAACUUUAAAUAUGUAAGAAGCCCUUGUUACUUGACAGAACGUGGGCAUUCGAAUGUAUCAGCACUAGUGGGCCAUUUUUGGUAAGCAGAACUGGCGAUGCGGGAUGAACCGAACGCGAGGUUAAGGUGCCAGAGUAGACGCUCAUCAGACACCACAAAAGGUGUUAGUACAUCUUGACAGCAGGACGGUGGCCAUGGAAGUCGGAAUCCGCUAAGGACUGUGUAACAACUCACCUGCCGAAUGUACUAGCCCUGAAAAUGGAUGGCGCUCAAGCGUCUCACCCAUACCUCGCCCUCAGGGUAGAAACGAAGCCCUGAGGAGGGUAAUGGAUUUAUAGGGGGAAGGGGGCGAAGUUGGCGGUAAGAGGCCCUUACGGGGAGGGAGCUGCCGACCUAGCGGCUGGGGCAGACGCUGUCGGGAGGGGUUGGCGCGCUGCAGGUCACGUGACAUCGGGUAAGUCACGUGGGAUCACAGAAGGAAGACAUAGGGUAGCU
rnacentral:ncRNA from 1 species